AUGAAGGUUUUGUCAAGAUAUUUGGUGAUUUUUUUGGAGAAGUUAAUGCUCUCCGUGUUCUUCAUUUGCCCAUCAUGCUUUGUCCUGUGGAGUCUAUGUUACAUAACUUUUCAGUACUUGUCCACCUACGAUACCUAUGUCUUUGGGACAAGUAAGAGCCAGAUGCAUUUACCACUAAACAUCUCUAAAUUUUAUCAUUUAAGGAUUCUAGAUCUUGAAUUGUGGGACGACAGUCGUAAUUUGCCCGAAGACAUCAGCAACCUUGCCAAAUUGUGCCAUUUUUGUGUCCCAAAUGAUGACCAGCUUCAUUCUGAUAUCUAUAAUGUGGGAGAACUUAAACUCUUAGAAGAGCUUAAGAUAUUUAAAGUCAAUAAAAGAAGUGAAGGGUUUGAACCAAAGCAACUAGAGCACUUGACCAACCUAAGGGAGCUUAGCAUCUACAACCUUGAGAAAAUACAUACAAAAGAAGAAGCAGCCCAAGCAAAAUUGGUCCGAGAUGUUUCUGACCAUAAUCCCCUCCUUAUGUCCACAAACAGCUCGCAACCUCAAUCUCCUAAGCCUAGAGAGUUCAGAUUUGAGAUGAGUUGGAUGGCCAACGAGGAAUUCCUCCCUUUGGUCAAACAAAUCUGGCAGAAACCAGUUAAGUCCUCGGACCCUAUAGAUGUCCUAAAUAUCAAGUUGAAGCGGUUUAAAAAGUUUUUUAAAGGCUGGGGUUCUGAUAAAUUCGGGCACACCAAUAAAAGAAAAAAAGUGAUCAAGGACGAGCUUGCUUCCAUAGAAGCUAUGGAAGAACAAGGGCCUCUUGAUCCUGAUACACUUAUGAAAAGAGCCUCUCUUAGUGGCGAACUCCAACAACUCAUGGUGAAUGAGGAAUUAUAUUGGCUUCAACAAUCACAUGAAACUUGGUUGUUGAAGGGUGAUCAAAACACUGCUUUCUACCAUAGGAUUGCCAAUGGGAAGAAACGUAAAAACACCAUUCACUCCUUCUCGUGUGGUGACACCACCAUUGAGGGGACUGAUAACUUGCUUAAUCAUGCUACACAUUACUAUAAAGAGCUUUUUGGUCCGGCCCCCGGGAAUCUUUUCCACUUAGAUCCUGACACUUGGGGUGAUGAUGAAAAACUCAUGGAUGAGGAUAACGAGUUCCUGACUAGACCCUUUAGUACAUCACAUAAGCCUUGCAAGCAUAAGAGAUAA
rnacentral:rRNA from 1 species